rnacentral:rRNA from 1 species
AACGUAGGAGACAAACGUUAUCCGGAGUUACUGGGCGUAAAGGGCGCGUAGGCGGAUAGAUAAGUUAGAUGUGAAAGCCCUGGGCUUAACCUAGGAACGUCAUCUAAUACUGUUUAUCUAGAGUAUUGUAGAGGGUAGUGGAAUUUCCGGUGUAGCGGUGAAAUUCGUAGAUAUCGAGAGGAACACCGGUGGCGAAGGCGGCCUUCUGGACAGUGACUGACGCUGAGACGCGAAAGCGUGGGGAGCAAACAGG